rnacentral:rRNA from 1 species
UCAGACGAUGCGUCAUGCAUAUCAAUAAGCGGAGGAAAAGAAACUAACAAGGAUUCCCCUAGUAACGGCGAGUGAAGCGGGAAGAGCUCAAAUUUGAAAUCUUAAAGGGUUUCCCUUUACGAAUUGUAGUUUAAAGAAGUGUUUUUCUGUUGAGGUUUUGGUAAAAGUUCUUUGGAAUAGGACAUCAUAGAGGGUGAGAAUCCCGUAUUUGACCUUUACUUUCAACUUUGUGAUACACUUUCAAAGAGUCGGAUUGUUUGGGAAUGCAGUCCAAAAUGGGUGGUAAAUUUCAUCUAAAGCUAAAUAUUGGCGAGAGACCGAUAGCGAACAAGUACCGUGAGGGAAAGAUGAAAAGAACUUUGAAAAGAGAGUUAAACAGUACGUGAAAUUGUCAAAAGGGAAGCGUUUGACACCAGUGUUGUUUUUCUGAAAAUCAAUUAAGGAACUGUUUUAUGCUAAGUUGUUUAGACUUUAUCAGCUAUCUGUUUAGUUUUGAGCUUUUCUUUAAUGCACUUUUCAGUUAACAAGUCAACAUCAAUUUCUUUUGCUGUAAAAAAAGCUUGAGGAAGGUGGCUUGAGAUUCGUCUUAAGUGUUUAUAGCCUCUUGCCUAUGCAGUCGGAGAGAUUGAGGUCUGCAGCGUAGAUCCUUCGGGGCUAAAUGCAUUUGUGCUAAGUUAUAGCAUUUUCAUAGACAACUUGUUGACUAUGAUUUGUCUUGUAGCUUACUCGCUUAUGUUAUUUUACCUACGCUUAGGAUGUUGAAUCUGUGCGAGACUAC